rnacentral:rRNA from 1 species
GGGCAAACAUGUGUUGAGAACACAAGGUCAUGUCGUUGCGAGUGCCCUGCUCUAAUAAGGCUACUACGAGCAGAGGACAACGGAUGGUACAUUGCAGAGCAUAGAGAUACUCACAACCACUCGCUAUCACCGAAUUUUGGUGAGACAAUCCACUGGCUGUCACACAAGCACACAUAUGUGUACACCAAAGACCUCGUAAAACACUUAAGGCAGAACAAUGUGAACUUACCAAAGGUGUACAGUAUCAUUGGAGGUUUCUUUGGAUCAAUGGAAAAUGUUCUGUUCACAAAGAGGUUGUUACGUAAUUUGUGUGGGAAGAUAAACAGGGACCACGUAGAAGAUGAUGUGAAGAAGACAAUAGAUGUGUUUGCGGAGAUAGGACCAUGCAGAAGAUGA